rnacentral:rRNA from 1 species
UACAGGGGGUGCAAACGUUGCUCGGAAUUAUUGGGCGUAAAGCGCGCGUAGGCGGCCGCUUAAGUCGGAUGUGAAAGCCCCUGGCUCAACUGGGGAAGUGCACCCGAAACUGAGUGGCUUGAGUACUAAAGAGGGUCGCGGAAUUCCCGGUGUAGAGGUGAAAUUCGUAGAUAUCGGGAGGAACACCGGUGGCGAAGGCGGCGACCUGGGUAGAUACGUGACGCUGAGGCGCGAAAGCGUGGGGAGCAACAGG